AUUGAACGCUGGCGGCAUGCUUUACACAUGCAAGUCGAACGGUAACAGGGUGCUUGCACCGCUGACGAGUGGCGAACGGGUGAGUAAUGCGUCGGAACGUGCCGAGUAGUGGGGGAUAACGCAGCGAAAGUUGUGCUAAUACCGCAUACGUACUGAGGUAGAAAGUGGGGGACCUUCGGGCCUCACGCUAUUCGAGCGGCCGACGUCUGAUUAGCUAGUAGGUGAGGUAAAGGCUCACCUAGGCGACGAUCAGUAGCGGGUCUGAGAGGAUGAUCCGCCAAACUGGGACUGAGACACGGCCCAGACUCCUACGGGAGGCAGCAGUGGGGAAUUUUGGACAAUGGGCGAAAGCCUGAUCCAGCCAUGCCGCGUGUCUGAGGAAGGCCUUCGGGUUGUAAAGGACUUUUGUCAGGGAGGAAAUCCCUAGUGCUAAUAACACUGGGGGAUGACAGUACCUGAAGAAUAAGCACCGGCUAACUACGUGCAAGCAGCCGCAGUAA
rnacentral:rRNA from 1 species